rnacentral:misc_RNA from 1 species
CUUCAAAUCUAACAGCUCCUGAACAUAGGGAUAUGUGAUUAUGCAAUGGUAAUGUCAUGCAUGGCUUAAGAUAUAUUAACCCACCAAUGAAAUCAAUCAUGAAGAGAAAUUUGCUUAACACAAAUAAAUCAAAUAUCAUACAGGGCAAAUCCUAAUGAUUAGAUAUUACAGCAUGCACGUUAACUGCUACUAAUCAGAAGUAAGAAAUCUAACCUCAAAUCCUAAUGAUUAGAUAUUACAGCAUGCACGUUAACUGCUACUAAUCAGAAGUAAGAAAUCUAACCUCAAAUCCUAAUGAUUAGAUAUUACAGCAUGCACGUUAACUGCUACUAAUCAGAAGUAAGAAAUCUAACCU